rnacentral:rRNA from 1 species
GAUGAACGCUGGCGGCGUGCCUAAUACAUGCAAGUCGAGCGAAUGGAUUAAGAGCUUGCUCUCAUGAAGUUAGCGGCGGACGGGUGAGUAACACGUGGGUAACCUGCCCAUAAGACCGGGAUAACUCCGGGAAACCGGGGCUAAUACCGGAUAACAUUUUGAACCGCAUGGUUCGAAAUUGAAAGGCGGCUUCAGCUGUCACUUAUGGAUGGACCCGCGUCGCAUUAGCUAGUUGGUGAGGUAACGGCUCACCAAGGCAACGAUGCGUAGCCGACCUGAGAGGGUGAUCAGCCACACUGGGACUGAGACACGGCCCAGACUCCUACGGGAGGCAGCAGUAGGGAAUCUUCCGCAAUGGACGAAAGUCUGACGGAGCAACGCCGCGUGAGUGAUGAAGGCUUUCGGGUCGUAAAACUCUGUUGUUAGGGAAGAACAAGUGCUAGUUGAACAAGCUGGCACCUUGACGGUACCUAACCAGAAAGCCACGGCUAACUACGUGCCAGCCGCCGCAGUAA